rnacentral:miRNA from 1 species
GUUAAGCUUGAAUUUCAGAUAAACAACAAAUAAUUUUUAAAGUUAAUUACAUCCUGUAUAAAAUUUGAGACAUACUUAUACUAAAAAGUUAUUUGUUGUUUAUCUUAAAUUCAAAUGUAACUGGGCAUCCUGU